GUAGAUCUAGUUUUAAAAAGAAUAUUAGAUUGUGAUUCUAAUGGUAGAGGUUAAAAUCCUGUGAUUUACA
rnacentral:tRNA from 1 species